UGGGGAAUUUUGGACAAUGGGCGAAAGCCUGAUCCAGCAAUGCCGCGUGUGUGAAGAAGGCCUUCGGGUUGUAAAGCACUUUUGUCCGGAAAGAAAUCCUUGGCUCUAAUACAGUCGGGGGAUGACGGUACCGGAAGAAUAAGCACCGGCUAACUACGUGCCAGCAGCCGCGGUAAUACGUAGGGUGCAAGCGUUAAUCGGAAUUACUGGGCGUAAAGCGUGCGCAGGCGGUUUGCUAAGACCGAUGUGAAAUCCCCGGGCUCAACCUGGGAACUGCAUUGGUGACUGGCAGGCUAGAGUAUGGCAGAGGGGGGUAGAAUUCCACGUGUAGCAGUGAAAUGCGUAGAGAUGUGGAGGAAUACCGAUGGCGAAGGCAGCCCCCUGGGCCAAUACUGACGCUCAUGCACGAAAGCGUGGGGAGCAAACAGGAUUAGAUACCCUGGUAGUCCACGCCCUAAACGAUGUCAACUAGUUGUUGGGGAUUCAUUCCUUAGUAACGUAGCUAACGCGUGAAGUUGACCGCCUGGGGAGUACGGUCG
rnacentral:rRNA from 1 species